rnacentral:lncRNA from 10 species
UAUUGAUUGUUAUGCCCUUCAAGCAUGAAUGAAUUAGCACCUUAUGGUUGGGUAUGUUGACUCAGAAUAUUCAAGAUAAGUCCAGCCACAAUCGAUUCCGCAGGGAUCAGGCUCCCGCCAUGAAAAUGACAAUAGCAUCUUGGAGAGGAAUGCACUGCGGACAUGCACAUUUGACAACUAAAUGGAAAGAUGGAAAAAGCCCACUUCACCCUACUAUUGUCACUAAUUUCAACUAAAAUUUACGAAGAAAAUGCAUGCAGUCCGUAUUUCAGUACUCUAAGAAGUAAGAGACAGUAGGCAUGUUGGAUUACUUGAGCAACAAUGAUAUAAUGGAAAGACAGCGUCUCACUCUGUCACCCAGGCUGGAGUGAACUGCACAAUGGGCUCAGUACGAUAUCCGUGGCUCAAGCAAUCCUCCCACCUCAGCCUCUCAAGUAGCUGGGACUACGCCUGGCCAAUUUGUAUAUGUUUUGUAAA